AUGGGGAGAACAUGUGUUUAUGUUCAUCAUGUGGAUAAAGAGGCCUUUUUGAAAGGCAAUGUUGAGCCGGACCCGGAUGAGCUUGACAUGGUGUUUGAGAGUAGUCCUAGCUAUGCGGAGCUCUUGGACCAAGUGAGGAAGGAUUUGAAUUGGAUGGAUCCAAGUGACGUUGUUGAGUUCGAGGGAAGGCAUAAUGUUGGUUUUGGAAUGCAGAUCCGUUGGAAGACAAUGCGUGUGAACUCCGAGCAACGUUGGGUUGCAUACAAGGAGACGGUUGCCGAAUCUCUAGACAAGGCUCUUGAGUUAUUUGCCUCCAAGAAGGUUGAGUCUACUUUGAAUUUGGACUUGAACCGGAACCCCUCCCCGUUGGUUGCUAGCACUCCCCCACCCAUUAACCAAGAUCAAAUGAGUGAACCUCAUUUCAUGCAACAAGAUUGGCCAACAUUGAGCCCGACUCCAAACAACCAAAAUGAAGCUUUUGAAGAGGAGAAUGAUGAGUACGAGGAGGAUAACAGCGAAGUUGAUCUCCAUGACAACAAUGUGGGUGAUCUCGACCAAUAUCAUGUGCAAGAGACAAUGGACCAAUCCAUCCCUUUUUCCCGUGCAUAUGCAUCGGACUCGGAUGACGAUGGUCCCGAUGAAGAAGUUGAUGAGGAGGGGUUCACGCCGAAGGAGGCCCAAGCAUUCAAGAAGGUAUUCGGGAAGGACCACAAGACACCAUUGUUCAAGGAUCUUAGUCUCGCGGAUGAAGCCGUUGUGGAUGGUGGCAAAUGCAUAUCUCUUGGAGCUAGGCCAAGUUCUCACCGUGAUUUGGAAGACGGCAAGAACGGGAUAUAUCCCGGUUGUGAGUUUGAAUCCUUCUUGGAAUUGAAGAUGUGGCUUGACAACUAUUCGGUUACACAUUAUCGUCCACAUAAAGUGGCCAACUCGGACGUCAAUGUGCGUUACGCGGUCAAAUGUGAAGUGCCAAGAUGUCCAUGGAUUGUGCGUGCGAGGCCAUGGAAAGGAGGUCCCACUUGGCGCAUGUGA
rnacentral:rRNA from 1 species